AAUGGGAUAACUGGGUCAAAUGGUGGUUCUAUUCCAUGUUUUCUGAGGAAUCUCCAUACUGCUUUCCAGAGUAGUUGUACUAAUUUGCAGUCCCACCAGCAGU
rnacentral:pre_miRNA from 1 species